rnacentral:lncRNA from 1 species
UUUUCCUGGUCCUAAAUUCAUUGCCAGUUCCCCAGUCUGCAGCAAAUGUGCCACGUCAAGACUGGAAAUCACAGCCCUUGAGUGUGUCUCAGUCAGCGCAGCAGAAUUCAGGGGGGAAAGCUGAAUGCAACCCCUGGUGCAGGAAGGGAGGCUUUUCCUGAGGACCGGGAGAGGAUUUUAAGUACAUAGAAGGAAGCUUCUGGAGAUCCUGCUCCGUCGCCCCAGUGUUCAGACUACCUGUUCAGGACAAUGCCGUUGUACAGUAGUCUGCACAUUGGUUUUGCACACUAGGGACCAAGAAGCCCUCGGGGACACUGCUGAGAAAAGACUGCCGAAGGGAAGACCAGCGGGGAUCAUGGAAUCUAUUCCAGAGGAAACUAACCAACAGUGAGCAUCUUCAACUAAAACUACCCCUGGAUGUAAUAAGUGUUGCAUGCAUCAUUCCUUUAAUUGAGCAGAGUUAACUGGAUCAAAUUAUUUAUGGGAGAGAGAGGAAAAGUUAUAAAGAAUUAUAGUAAUUUUUAAUUUCCACCAAUAUACUCUUUGCUGAUUGUAUCUGUCUAUGAGCAAAGGAAACCUGAAGGAACCAAGGGCCUGGCUGGACAGAGUUGUCAUGUGUCUGCCUGUCUACACUUGCUGUGCAGAACAUCCGCUCACCUGUACAGCAGGCACAGACAGGCAGUCACAUGACAACCCAGCCUGAAUGACAACCAGCCAUUGAAAGAAAGCAGCCCUCACACCAUAGCAUCUACACCAAGAGCUACAACCAAAAUGAGGGGCUCGGGGGCCUGGGGUUUUAAUCUGUUGGUUUAAUACUUAACUCAUGUAUUAUUUUAUUUUGAUUCAAGUAUUAAAACCCACCAAAAGUAAAGUGAGUGGUGCCUAUGAAAUAUAAUAAAACCCAUUUCUGAAAAUGUUCCUGUGCAUUCUAUAGUUCUCUUUUCCUAAUUGUUGUCAGCAAAUCACUACCCUUGACCUUUAUUGUACACAGCUUUGCAGCACCCUAUAUUGAUAUAAAAACUCAAUAUAACAAAACAAUAUAACUUCAGUCUGAUGCUUAACAAAGAAUAAAUUAUUCUAAGAAUUCUUGUCCAUAAACUAAGUAUGGUUUUCUAUGUCAUGAUUUUUUUUUUUUUUUUUUUUUUUUGGAAGGGGAUAGGGUGGAAAGACAGAGAAAAGAAAAGGGAGAAAAAGAGUAUUCCAAAGGAUCAAGUGCUUUGAGUUAACUCUGCCAGUCUGGGUUAACUCUGCCAGUCUGGGUCUGGGCAAAACACAGUGAAAAGACUACUAUUUCCAACUAGUGUUCAACUAUAUUAAAAUAAUAGUUUCUCCUCUUUUGACAUAUGGAAAGUUGAAAUUUUUGAUACUUCCACGCGUCAUGGUAUACAUAAAUUUAUGACUGCGUCAUUCUUUAAUUAAGAAGGUGCUUAUGCUACAGUUCUAGGAGUAGAAUUUACAAGGCCAACACAUUCACUUGCAACCUAUGCUUCCAUCACUAUAAACUUUCAAGAUCUUGAGAUGUUCAGGCAAUUCAUUUAUCUUCAGAAGCAUAAGGAAAGUGGUUAAUGCACUUGAAAUGUAUAUUUUGACACAUCUUUUGAGAAAAUAUCCAAACUUCAGUUUAUGCACUGUUAACUGGAGUGAAAUGAUAAGGGAUGGCUUUUGUCUAUGAAUACUUUAAAUACUUAAGGGUAAAAGGUGGGAAGAUGGAUAAAAUUAGAAAUGUGUCAACUUUUAUUUAGUUCAUUAACAUGUUUUAGCUUCAGUAUUUGAAAUUAAUUUUCAUCUUUCUUAGAUUCUGGUCAAGCUUAAAAAAUGUAACACAAGGCUACUCAAAACUUUUUUCACAUUUAACAAUUAAACACUUUAUGUAUGUAUUCUUAACUAAAGCAAACUAUUUUUCAUUCAGCUAUUUUAUUUUUAAAAUGAAAGUCUCAGUCUUAAAGCUAAGAUCCCAGUGAGUUUCAAAUUUUCUGACAAUGAUAUUUUAACCAAACCUGACAUUAUAGUUUCUUUAAUUAAAAAACUGAAUGAUGGGGCAAAACUACAAAGCACAAAUAUGAUUAAAGUUAAAUUUCUCUCAUUUAAACAAUCUUGUCUUAUGGCAAUAUGUCAUCUGCUAAAAUUCAUCUCUGCUUCUGCAAGAUACAUUGCACGAUGCAGAUUUUUGCCUUAAAUAAAAGUCCCAUUACUAGCAAAUAAAGUCCUAAACAAUACUUACAAAAUGUAGAAUAUAAACAGGAAGACAAUAUAAAAAUUACUCACAGAAUAUCGA